GUAUUCCCUUGGUCUCCAAGUGUGCACCUGAUAGCCAAUACUUAAAUUGCAUUCCAUUGGUCUCCAGGUGUGCACUUGAUUGCCAAUACUUGAAUUAUAUUCCCUUGUUCUCUAGGUGGGAGCCUAAUUGCUAAAACUUGAAAUGUAUUCCCUUGUUCUCUAGGUGGGCGCUUGAUUGCCAAGACUUGAAAUGUAUUCCCUUGGUCUCCAGUUCUGCGCCUGAUUGCCAAUACUUGAAUUGUAUUCCAUUGUUCUCCAGGUGGGCACCUUAUUUACAAAACUUGAAAUGUAUUCUCUUGUUCUUCAAGUGGACACCUGAUUGCGGAAACAUGGACUAUUUUCCCUUACUCUACAGGUGAACGCCUGAUUGCCAAAACUUGAAUUGUAUUCCCUUGUUUUCC
rnacentral:lncRNA from 1 species